rnacentral:rRNA from 1 species
UACGUAGGGGGCGAGCGUUGUCCGGAUUUAUUGGGCGUAAAGAGCUCGUAGGCGGUUCGGCAAGUCGACGGUGAAAUCUCCACGCUCAACGUGGAGGGGUCCGUCGACACUGCUGUGACUCGAGUCCGGUAGGGGAGUGUGGAAUUCCCGGUGUAGCGGUGAAAUGCGCAGAGAUCGGGAGGAACACCCGUAGCGAAGGCGGCACUCUGGGCCGGUACUGACGCUGAGGAGCGAAAGCGUGGGGAGCGAACAGG